rnacentral:rRNA from 1 species
GAAGCCUACGGGACGCAGCAGUGAGGAAUAUUGGUCAAUGGACGAGAGUCUGAACCAGCCAAGUAGCGUGAAGGAUGACUGCCCUAUGGGUUGUAAACUUCUUUUAUAUGGGAAUAAAACGUUCCACGUGUGGGAUUUUGUAUGUACCAUAUGAAUAAGGAUCGGCUAACUCCGUGCCAGCAGCCGCGGUAAUACGGAGGAUGCGAGCGUUAUCCGGAUUUAUUGGGUUUGAAGGGUGCGUAGGCGGAACAUUAAGUCAGCGGUAAAAUCGAGGGGCUCAACCCCUUUAAGCCGUUGAAACUGGU